rnacentral:rRNA from 1 species
CCAGCAGCUGCGGUAAUUCCAGCUCCAAUAGCGUAUAUUAAAGUUGUUGCAGUUAAAAAGCUCGUAGUUGGAUUUCUGGGAGGGUGCCAAUGUCCGCCGACGUGCGUGUGCAGCGGCGCCCUUCCAUCCUUCUGUUAACGCCUCUUGGCAUUCAUUUGCUGGUGGCGGGCUCAGAUAUUUUACCUUGAGAAAAUUAGAGUGUUUCAGGCAGGCUAGGCCGGAAUACAUUAGCAUGGAAUAAUAGAAUAGGACUACGGUCUCUUUGUUGGUUUGAGGGACUGCAGUAAUGAUUAAUAGGGAUAGUUGGGGGCAUUAGUACUUAACUGUCAGAGGUGGAAUUCUCGGAUUUGUUAAAGACUAACUUAUGCGAAAGCAUUUGCCAAGGAUGUUUUCAUUAAUCAAG